rnacentral:tRNA from 1 species
GGGGUUGUAGCUCAGUGGUAGAGCACUUGCCUCGCAUGCACGAGGCCCUGGGUUCGAUCCUCAGCACCACA